rnacentral:rRNA from 1 species
GUCCACGCCCUAAACGGUGGGUACUAGGUGUAGGGCUCGUAAGGGUUCUGUGCCGAAGGGAAACCAUUAAGUACCCCGCCUGGGGAGUACGGCCGCAAGGUUGAAACUCAAAGGAAUUGACGGGGGCCCGCACAAGCGGUGGAGCAUGUGGUUUAAUUCGACGCAACGCGAAGAACCUUACCUGGGCUUGACAUGUAAGUGGUAAGGACCCGAAAGUGCGAUGAUUCGUAGCAAUACUGAAGCUUACACAGGUGCUGCAUGGCUGUCGU